AUGCAGUGCUAGGCUUUACUCUGCAAGGUGUUUAAAUAGAAAUACAGGUUUACCCGGAAUUCAUCAUAUGUGGAAAUGUGUAUUAUCUAAGUGGGCUGCCUGCUAAUAGAUUAUAUGCUACUAUGUCUUCCUGACGGUUAACUCUUUUCAGUGAGUGGAAAGGAAAGAGUACCACUGUCUCGAUGGGAACUCUUCUCCAUGGGACAUUACAUCAAUUUUGACGACACUAUCCCGAGUGAAAUGGCACCUGAAAUCAUGAGGGAGGAAUUUACAAGCAAUACAAUACCCAAGAUUCUGAUUUUACGCUAAACAUUUGGUGAUAUGUAACACUGGACCCUACAGCAACUGAGGAGUAUGAACCAUUUGCAUCCACACAUUGACAGGAACGCACUUCUCAAGAUAAGUUCAUGACAAAGACUAUAAAAAUGCUGUACUAUAAGGAAAGAGAAAAAGUGCCUUGUAACUUUGUGAGAAUAAUCUUCCUGGACUGGUAUAUAUCAGAUUCCUACAUAAACAUGUCUGGUCAUUAUGACUAUAUAGAAGCCUCCGAAUAUUGACUUGUUUGACUUUUACAAUUUGAUGGAGUUAGAAGAAGUUGGAUGCAGAGACCUGGAGAAAGAGGUACAAGGCAAACAGAAGCGCUCCUUGGUGCACCCUCAGCAUUACAAAAUCCCUAUAUGCCAUUUUGUAUGUAAGGGCUGACUUACAAUUCCUUCCUACUCUCAGCCCUACUGCAUCUAAACUUUAUUUCAUCUGACUUUCUGGAUUUACACUGAGGUAAGAAUGGAUUCUAAUAUUUCAAAUUUAUUUAAAAAUUCAUUCCCAGGUCAACAGGGUGACAAAAAAAGACACACUAGCCAAAAGGUAUUGUCACUCUGCUUGCAUUACAGUCCCAUAGUGACCUCUUGCUCUUACUAGCAUUAAGUUCUUCCAGCUUGGAGAGGUAACUGACAUGAGUUUUGUGGCACCUGAGCUAAUUGUUUCAAACCCUAAAGUAAUUCUGGGACAGAAUGGAUCUCAGUGAUUCUCCCUGGAUCUGCCUUGAAGUGCCAGCAGACAUUGAUAACAAGUGCCGAUUUAGUACUGUUCUUAUUCAAGGUCCUUAAAUGUGCUGAAUGACAGAAAUGUUACCACUGGCCCAGUCUGGGACUUAAACUUAGGAAACUCAGUGAUUUAGAGAGAACUGCUUUUAUACAUCUUGAGAAUAUUUGUUUUUCUUUCUAAAUAAGAAUCGAAAGUCAUGCUCUUCCUAUAUCUGGAACCUUUGUAAAUUGAGUGCAAGGGCUUAAAGUUUUAGUCCUGAGUCUGGUAAAAAAAAAAUGAUUACAAGAGCAUACUUGGGUUAGUCACUGGGACCAAACCCCCAUGAGUUGUGUCAUGCACAACAGAUGUAUCUGAGAUUUCUAGUUUUUAUUUCUUCUUCUAAUUUGUUAUGUUAGAAGCUACAUUUGAGACUUUGAUACUUGUUGUACCUUCUGUAAUACCUGCAAUCACUUCUGUUAUAUGGUUGAGAUAAGAAAAAUGUUUACAAUCAGACAGCCUCCCACAUGUAAACACAUUAUUCUAAAGACAUUCAUGUAUAAAGAAGACUAGAGCACAAUCACAAAAUUUAAAUAAUUGUUAUAAAUUAAUUGAGAAAGAGGUUCUUAAUCGCUGCUUCUCAGGGGAAAGUUUAUUUUGUAUCUUAAUUAGAAAAAAAAGCCUAAUAAAACACAUAAAUAACUGAAAGAGGCCUACAGUUAUCACAAGAUGGGGAUACAAAUAAGUUUAAGAAAGAUUUGGAGAAAGUAAAGACAUUCAAGAAGCUCUGGCCUCCUCCACCCAUUUCACAAUUGUAUCCUAUUAUUGAUACUUCUAAUUAUGCUACAACAUAUAGUGGUACAAGGUGCCCCUGUAGUGUACAGAGCAAAUGCAUGAGUGCCUGCUUAAUGUCAUCAUGGCCUUUGUUGGCACAUGUUUAAUGUUGACAUUAUGACCAUGUGAACAUUCUCAUAUCAAUAUAAUGAAUGAACAGAUAUACCAAAUCCAAGCAGUUGGUAACAAAAGAAGAGGAAUGGAUAGUAUGUUUUAAAUACUGUAAUUGUCUAUUUCAUGUGGAAACACAAUAAAGUCCACAUCAUUAUUUAGUAUUUACGUAGUAUAUGGAGAAACUUCAAUUAUUUAAAAAGUAAAUGAUUGGUCUUUAAAGAAGGCACCUACAAGCUGACACAAAAACACAUGGAUGGAGUAACAAAUCAAAAAUUCACUGGAGAUCUUUUACAAUACCAUAUAUUAAACAUAAAUCAAAGUGACAUCCCUUUUGGGACGAUUGGUCUUUGUAGAGUGUUUUUCAUCAAGCUAUUCUGGUUUCCAUCUAUUAAUAAACACAUGAAAAGAGGAAUGAUGAUAUUGUAAUACAUUCAGAUUCAACUUUAAUAAGGAUUAUAAAUAGCCCAGUGUAGGAAGCAUGGAAAGGUAAACUCUCCAUGGAGUGGGUCAACCACCAGGAGGGACCCAUCACUGUUCAUGUCCCCUUUGAAAAAGGCACAUAAAGGUUUGUUUAAAAUUUGAUCCCCAUAUCAUAGACCUUGGUUGCAAUUGGCUCUAAUUAGAAGGUACAUGUGCAAUUGCUUCUGCCCUUCUUUGGGUCUGCUGCUCAGCUACACUAUUAUAUAGUCUAUAGCCUUCUUAAGGGAUGGGGAGAACUAAA